rnacentral:misc_RNA from 1 species
UCUCCGUUGGUGAACCAGCGGAGGGAUCAUUACUGGAAUCGCAAGAUCCCACAACCCCUGUGAACCUACCGAAACGUUGCCUCGGCGGGCGCCCGGCCCUGCGCCGGGCGCUGAGCCCGCCGGCGGCCCCCUACUCUUGUCUCUGCAGCGUGGCAUCUCAGAGCCCCAGAAAACAAGUAAAAACUUUCAACAACGGAUCUCUUGGCUCUA